AGAGUUUUAUCCUGGUUCAGGAUGAACGCUAGCGGCAGGGCUUAACACAUGCAAGUCGAGGGGCAGCAUGUCCCAGCAAUGGAUGAUGGCGACCGGCGGAAAGGGUGCGUAACGCGUGAGCAACAUGCCCUAUACAGGGAGAUACACCAGGGAAACUUGGUCUAAUAUCCCAUAGCAUUCAUUGAAGGCAUCUUUAAUGAAUUAAAGCUUCGGUGGUAUAGGAUUGGCUCGCGUGACAUUAGCCAGAUGGUGAGGUAACGGCUCACCAUAGCAAUGAUGUCUAGGGGUUUUGAGAGGAAGGCCCCCCACACUGGGACUGAGACACGGCCCAGACUCCUACGGGAGGCAGCAGUGAGGAAUAUUGGACAAUGGAUGGAAAUCUGAUCCAGCCAUGCCGCGUGCGGGAAGACGGCCUUAUGGGUUGUAAACUGCUUUUAUACGGGAGCAAUAAGGGUUACGAGUAAUCCGAUGAGAGUACUGUAUGAAUAAGGAUCGGCUAACUCCGUGCCAGCAGCCGCGGUAAUACGGAGGAUCCGAGCGUUAUCCGGAAUUAUUGGGUUUAAAGGGUGCGUAGGCGGCCAUUUAAGUCAGCGGUGAAAUUUUGCAGCUUAACUGUAACAGUGCCGUUGAUACUGUUUGGCUAGGAUUUGGUUGUAGUGUGCGGAAUGUGUGGUGUAGCGGUGAAAUGCUUAGAUAUCACACAGAACACCGAUUGCGAAGGCAGCACACUAAGUCAUUAUUGACGCUGAGGCACGAAAAUGUGGGGAUCAAACAGGAUUAGAUACCCUGGUAGUCCACACUGUAAACGAUGAUAACUCGCUGUCGGCGAUACACAGUCGGGGCCAAGCGAAAGC
rnacentral:rRNA from 1 species